rnacentral:rRNA from 1 species
GAUGAACGCUGGCGGCGUGCCUAAUACAUGCAAGUCGAGCGAACAGACGAGGAGCUUGCUCCUUCGACGUUAGCGGCGGACGGGUGAGUAACACGUAGGUAACCUACCUAUAAGACUGGGAUAACUUCGGGAAACCGGAGCUAAUACCGGAUAAUAUUUCGAACCGCAUGGUUCGAUAGUGAAAGAUGGCUUUGCUAUCACUUAUAGAUGGACCUGCGCCGUAUUAGCUAGUUGGUAAGGUAACGGCUUACCAAGGCAACGAUACGUAGCCGACCUGAGAGGGGGAUCGGCCACACUGGAACUGAGCCACGGUCCAGCCUCCUACGGGAGGCAGCAGUAGGGAAUCUUCCGCAAUGGGCGAAAGCCUGACGGAGCAACGCCGCGUGAGUGAUGAAGGUCUUCGGAUCGUAAAACUCUGUUAUUAGGGAAGAACAAACGUGUAAGUAACUGUGCACGUCUUGACGGUACCUAAUCAGAAAGCCACGGCUAACUACGUG